GGUCGUGGCUCAGAGGUAGAGCGCUUGCCUACCCUGCAUGAGGCACUGGUUUCGAUCCUCAGAACCA
rnacentral:tRNA from 1 species